AAGUCGAUGGUCUGUUGGAAAGCGUGACGCUGUGGGCGGACCCUCGUGUUCCUGAGAGGCUUUUUAACGGCGUGGACAAAGCGAAGGGGGCACAGCCAAAAUGACUCGCGACCUGUUCCUAUGUGGCUCUGCCCUGAUGAUCAUCCUCUUUGCCAGUGGAUGUCAUUCACAGAUGCCAGCUUGCGGCCAGGCUCCAAAGAACACCAGAGUUGUGGGAGGCCAAAAUGUGUCCGCGGGAAGUUGGCCCUGGUUGGCAACUAUUAAGUCUUACGGCCGUCCCGUCUGUGCAGGAUCCUUAAUUAACAAUCAGUGGGUGCUGACAGCUGGUGG